ACCAGCGUGGUGCCCUGCCGC
rnacentral:misc_RNA from 1 species